GACGAACGCUGGCGGCGUGCCUAAUACAUGCAAGUAGAACGCUGAAGGGGGAGCUUGCUUCUCUGGAUGAGUUGCGAACGGGUGAGUAACGCGUAGGUAACCUGCCUGGUAGCGGGGGAUAACUAUUGGAAACGAUAGCUAAUACCGCAUAAUAGUAGAUGUUGCAUGACAUUUGCUUAAAAGGUGCAAUUGCAUCACUACCAGAUGGACCUGCGUUGUAUUAGCUAGUUGGUGAGGUAACGGCUCACCAAGGCAGCGAUACAUAGCCGACCUGAGAGGGUGAUCGGCCACAAUGGGAAUGAGACACGGCCCAGACCUCUAAGGGAGGGAGCAGUAGGGGAGCUUCGGCAAUGGACGGAAGGCUGACCGAGCAACGCCGCGGGAGUGAAGAAGGGUGUCGGAUCGUAAAGCUCGGUUGGAAGAGAAGAACGAGUGGGAGAGUGGAAAGUUCACACUGUGACGGUAUCUAACCAGAAAGGGACGGCUAACUACGUG
rnacentral:rRNA from 1 species